CGUCGCGAGGCGGAAUCUGAAGGAAGCCGGAUUUGAGGGUUUAAAAGUACCCUUGAGGGCAAAACCUCGGUCUGACGAACAGGAACCGCAUAGAAGGCGUCGCAAGGCGGACGAGUUUCCCAAACAAAACGAAGUCCGAUACUGCCCGGACCUUGCGCCGUAGAUGCGGCAGAUGUAUGAGGUGAAGGUC
rnacentral:ncRNA from 1 species